CUAGUACUCGCGUAAUAGUGGUGUACAAAGCUGUGAAGAUGAAGCAUCGCGUAAAAUGAGCCGAUUGGUGAGGUAGGACUGUGCUGGAGACUAAGGUUGUCAUGGGACUGGUGGUGGAGCGACGAUUGAAGUCAGACCGUGGCGAGCAGGCGCUGGUGGCAGGUGUCCUGGUUGAAGUAGACGUGAAAGUUUUGGUUAGCAGAUAUGGAGGUAUGAGUAAGAUGCUUUUGUACGUUAUACGUGGAUAACAUCGUGUGUAGGUACUUUAGGGACAGACCUGCAAGUGUUGACUGAAGUUGGGGUCUUCCAAACAAGAAUUGCGAGAUUAUGGUAAUGAUGGUUGCAUGAUAGAGGGAAUGAGGGGCAGCGGACUUUGAGAAACAACGGAGGGCGAGGCGGCAGAAAGUGUUGAAGACGAGGAUGACGCGACCCACACGGUGACUAAAGAAAGGACUUGAGAUUGGCAGAUAAGAAGACGGCACAAGAAAGAGAAGGGUAUUCGUGAAUCAAACUAGUGAAGAUUUAAUAAUUAGAGUUGAAAUAGCAUUUUGUACCUGUAACGGGGAAUUGUUUAGCGUUUCAUUUAAAAAUGAGAUCAUAAUGUAUUGGUAUUGAGGGGUAAGACUGUGUGCGGUUUGUGGCCUUAAUACUAAAAUCCUGUCAGUGUUCCCAUGAUAGAGAGGGCAAAAAGUGUGGGUCGUGAAAGAAUUGAUGCAUUAAGUUGUGCCAAAGUUGUGAAAUGAAUGUUAUGGAAGGUGUAGAGUAAAGAUAUAUUAUUAGGUCGUGUUGUAAGUUACGUAUUUGUAAAUCGGAGGAAAUGAGAAUGCCUGUUUGUUGUUUUAACAUUUAUAUAACGGUAGAAGUUUGUAUUGUGCAAUUGAAUGGUGUUGUAAGGACGUCAUUAGGAGAUUUAGUGACAAGUGGAAAUAUGUACUAUAUAGGACAAUGUAGUUUGAAAUGUGAAUAAUUUAGUUUACGUGAAAAGAUGAAUAGAAAAGAUGACGUAACGUAACCGUUAGUUGAUUGAAGAAUAUCAUGUUAUUGGUUUAAAAAAGAAAAUAUUAACGUACAGGUAUAAUGAUAUUAUUUGUAGAGGAAAAAAUUGACAUAUGAUUGAAAUUAGAUAAUAUAAAAUGUUCCUAUACUCAAGUUCUUAAUGAUUGGGUGAUGGAAAUGUAUGAGCGGCAUAGUUUCACUUAUGAUAGUGUUGAUAUGUAGUGGUUAUAGUUUUUAUUAAAAUGUGGUUGCUGCAGUAAUAUAUGGAGGAUUGUCGUAGCCUAUAAAAAUAAAUUUUUAGACACUACCUUACAUAUAAGAAUGUAACAUAUAUAUAGGGCAGAUGUAAUGUAAUUAUGUUAAAGUUAUGUAAAAGAACUUAUGGUUAAAUUGUAAGAAACCAUUAUAUGGGAAUCACACAAAUGUUUAUGGGUGUGAUGAGGUUCAUAUUUGACUGAAUCUGUUUUGUCGCGUUGAUUAUGGUUCCCGGCUUUCUAGCAGUUCGAAAAAGUUACGUAGUUUCUGUGAGAAAUGCAUUGUUAGUGUCAUUGGGGGCGCAUGGUAUGCGAACUUGUUCAAAUAUGAGGUUUUGAGGGUAACAAUGAAUGAUCAUGUUUGUAAAAGGUAUGAAACAUUUGUGUUCCAUCUUAUAGUAUUGAAGGUGCGUAUGGUAAUAGAGAUGACUUGAAUAUUUAUUGUUGGACGAAACAGAAUGCUUUAACAUGGGUAUGAUAGGUUGUCACAUGCAUGGCCUGUGAUGACUGGUGUAGGUUGUAGGCGUGGCUAGCAGUGAAUGUGUAUUAGGUAAUAAAAUAGUAUCAUAAUAAA
rnacentral:lncRNA from 1 species